AAAUUGAAGAGUUUGAUCAUGGCUCAGAUUGAACGCUGGCGGCAGGCCUAACACAUGCAAGUCGAGCGGUAACAGGAAGAAAGCUUGCUUUCUUUGCUGACGAGCGGCGGACGGGUGAGUAAUGCCUGGGAAAUUGCCCUGAUGUGGGGGAUAACCAUUGGAAACGAUGGCUAAUACCGCAUGAUGCCUACGGGCCAAAGAGGGGGACCUUCGGGCCUCUCGCGUCAGGAUAUGCCCAGGUGGGAUUAGCUAGUUGGUGAGGUAAUGGCUCACCAAGGCGACGAUCCCUAGCUGGUCUGAGAGGAUGAUCAGCCACACUGGAACUGAGACACGGUCCAGA
rnacentral:rRNA from 1 species